GAUGAAGAACGUAGCGAAAUGCGAUAAGUAAUGUGAAUUGCAGAAUUCAGUGAAUCAUCGAAUCUUUGAACGCACAUUGCGCCCGCCAGUAUUCUGGCGGGCAUGCCUGUCUGAGCGUCAUUUCAACCCUCAUGCCCCUAGGGCGUGGUGUUGGGGAUCGGCCAAAGCCCGCGAGGGACGGCCGGCCCCUAAAUCUAGUGGCGGACCCGUUGUGGCCUCCUCUGCGAAGUAGUGAUAUUCCGCAUCGGAGAGCGAUGAGCCCCUGCCGUUAAACCCCCAACUUUCCAAGGUUGACCUCAGAUCAGGUAGGAAUACCCGCUGAACUUAAGCAUAUCAAUAAGCGGAGGA
rnacentral:misc_RNA from 1 species